GUUACUUAGCAGAGAUUCUUGAUGAUAAGCUAUGGUGUUUUAUCAGCAUCUCUACAACUGUCCACUGUAAUGUCACGCAUUGAAGUGGGAUUGAAAGUGAUCACUGAGGAAGAACUGCAGUAAAUUGUUACAGUAUAGCAGAAUGGUGGUAUGAAAAACUCAGCUUGAAUUUAGGAAAUCCCAAUUUCAAUUUGAAUUACUCUGCUACAUGUAGCUGUAUAACAUUGAAGAAUUCACUUAACAUUUCAAGCCUCAGCUUUCAUUGAACAAAGUGAAGAAACAAUCUGCAGUUUCCCAUGUAGUUCAGGAUACAUGGAUUGACGACCUGUUUGUGAACUGUGUUCCAUAGUUAACAAGAGACCCCUUCUUGACUUUCUACCACACUGAGCUUCCACCUUGCUGUGGACAUUUCAUACAUGUUAGAGUGGCUCUGUGGCGAAGAAUCCACCUGCCAAUGCAGGAGACGCAGGUUUGAACCCUGGGUCUGGAAGAUCCCCUGG